ensembl:rRNA 5S_rRNA 5S ribosomal RNA
GCCAGCAGCCAUAUCACCCUGCAACUCCCAGCUGGCAGCCCACUGAAGCUCAGCAGGUGUGAGCCUGGUCAGUACCUGGAUGGGAGACCUCCUGGGAAAGCUAAGGUUGCUGCUGGAA